rnacentral:rRNA from 1 species
GACGAACGCUGGCGGCGUGCUUAACACAUGCAAGUCGAACGGAAAGGCCCUGCUUUUGUGUGGUGCUCGAUUGGCGAACGGGUGAGUAACACGUGAGUAACCUGCCCCUGACUUUGGGAUAACUUCAGGAAACUGGGGCUAUUACCGGAGAGGAGCUCCUGCUCCAUGGGGGGGGUAGGAAAGUUUCGGCGGUAGGGGAUGGACUCGCGGGUUAUCCGCUGCUUGGGGGGGUAGUGGCUGACCAAGGUUUUGACGGGUAGCCGGCAUGGGAGGGUGACCAGGGACAUUGGGACUACGAUACGGCGCAGACUCCUACCGGAGGCAGCGGGCGGGAACAUUGCACAACGGCCGGGAGCCUGAGGCAGAAACGUCGCGAGCGGGAAGAUGGCCUUCGGGUUGAGAACCGCUUUCGCAUGAAACGAAGCCUGCGUGACGGUAAUGAGUAAAGAAGCAACGGCUAACUACGUG